rnacentral:rRNA from 1 species
GUAGGUGGCAAGCGUUGUCCGGAAUUAUUGGGCGUAAAGCGCGCGCAGGCGGUUCUUUAAGUCUGAUGUGAAAGCCCACGGCUCAACCGUGGAGGGUCAUUGGAAACUGGAGAACUUGAGUACAGAAGAGGAAAGCGGAAUUCCACGUGUAGCGGUGAAAUGCGUAGAGAUGUGGAGGAACACCAGUGGCGAAGUCGGCUUUCUGGUCUGUAACUGACGCUGAGGCGCGAAAGCGUGGGGAGCAAACAGGGAUUAGAUACCCUGGUAGUCCACGCCGUAAACGAUGAGUGCUAAGUGUUAGGGGGUUUCCGCCCCCUUAGUGCUGCAGCUAACGCAUUAAGCACUCCGCCUGGGGAUACGGCCGCAAGGCUG